GACACUAUUGCUGGCCUGGGCAAAUGUGAAGGCCUAAUUAGUUUUUAUUUGUAUGUCUUUAGGUGACGCUUUUAUUCUGAAAAACACGCCCCGGAAGUCCUGUUUUGCAAGGAAGUUGAAAUGCAUCUAAACACAAGUCUUUAAAGCUGGAUCCGUGUUUCAUCAAGGGAAAUACACAAAGCAUGGAUAUCCUUAACAGACUGGAAAUCUACAUCCCAGUGGAAGCUGAGGUGAAAAACAUCCCUCUGUCGAGUUUACCAAACUCAGUGCUUACACGAAUGGGCCUCCCCUCGUCUAACUCUGACUCCAGGACUCUCACAGACUCUCCAGAAGGCAUAUGGAUUUGUCCAGCAGUGGUACGGAGGAAAGUCGAGAAACCGGCCUCCCAUACAGGAAGCGGUGAGAACAUGUCCUCACUGCUGGGCAGGGAGUUUCGGGCUGUUUCGGGUCCCUUCCUAAUGUCCUUCAUCUCCGCCAACCGCACAGCUUACGCGGUGCUGAAGGACACCAUGCCUGGAAAAAGUACUCACACAUCUCACACUUCCCUGUUACCUCAGGGCUUAGCAUCGCGGAAGUACAAAGACGCUGUUGUCAUCUACCGCGGACGCGUUUACCUCUCCACCAGGAAGUCCAAUCAAAGCCGGAGUCAACAAGAGAUGCAUGAAGCACAGGCAACUUCCCAGUCUUCCAUUCCUAAAAGCCGAACAAAGCGCCAGUCUCCCCGGGCUUCUCUUGAACCUGCAGAUAAAGAACUACAAAGGAAGAAAUUGCAUUUCACUUUGCCCCAAACAUCCCCAAAAAAGCUAAAGGAUCUUCUCACAAAAACAGAGAAUCCCUCCACCACAGACCGGGAGCUGCUAAAUGACAAGAAGAAACACACCACAUGUAAAGUAACACACAGUGAAAACAAGAAGGGGAGUGAUGUAUCCUCAUCCACAACUGCACAUUCUGUCCCUCGGUCCACGGACGGUGUGCACAAACUGGACAGCUCUAGUCAUGAGGAUACUGAUGGAGAGCAGGCUGAAGCAGCAGGGAAAGAGACAGCUUGGUUUCAGGCUGGGUGGGAGCAGGAGGGGGUGACUGACAGUGGUGAAUGUGAGACACACCUGGGAGAUGAAGAAUCUGACUGUUUACAAAUUGACAGUGGUGAAGCUGACAACAUUGUUGGUAUUGCAGAGCAGAGUAGCAACCAUAGCUGGAGCAGUAGAGAGUUUCAGAGGGCAGCUUGUGCCUCCACUUCACGACAGGAGCAGUUUGACUUGCUGGCAAAAGAGGAGAAGAUCGCUCAAGUGAAGGCCAAACUCAAGCUGAGUGAAGCUGCUCUUGACAGCCUGAACUCCUGACAGCAACUCUAAUUAAACUCACAUGAGGAGCACUCUGUUCUAUGAAUGUGUUCACAUGCGCAUUAGUGACCUGGUAUAUCCAGAAUAGGAUUAAAAUUCAUGGAAAGUAAUAAAACCAGGAUACUAGUGUACAUGUAAACGUACUACUUUCAUUGUGUCAUCGUGGUGAUCUUUAAUUUUCAAGCCUAAUACAUCAUACCAAUAUUUAUAAUAGUGUUACUAUUAUCUGACUAUCUUGAGAAAUGCUUGUCAUAAUGGGACCAUUAUAUGUAGAUAGUAAUUUUUUCUCUCAACCCCAUUUGUUCCCAUUACUAGUUAUGUGACUUAUCAAAAAUAAAAAGUCACAUAACUAGUAAUGGGAACAUAUGGAACAUAUCUGUUACUGGAGACUCAACCAAGAGACUUUAUGUUCACACAAACCUCAGAUGGGCCUCUCUUCUCAUUUUGUGUAUAAAAAAGUGAUUGGGACUUUCUGAAGUCUGGACCCCUGAUGUAGUGACUCCCUCCCCCUAUACAUUCAACCUGUUGUUGAGUUUGCCUCCAGCAAUUGCCAAUAUCAUUUUGUUUCAAAUGUAUAUCAUAUUAGACACAUAGACACUUUUAGCCAAAUGUUUGUUUGGAAAUUAAAUCUCAUAGGAUAUAUUUCUAUUUCUGCAAAUCUUUGUUUGCAAUAAAGAAGUGUGUGUGCGUGUACAAAGUUGUGUACUUUGUUGUUAUUUAUAGGAGAAUUCAAUAGAUUAUCUCCCAGGUGUCCUGCAUCCAUCUGCUCCUCACAUACAGUGUGAAAUACAUGUGACUGUCUUGAUAGCUUUGACUGAGAUUUGGUUUGUUUGAUACAUCUGGUGGAUUAGCAAUGAGCCACCUCCAGUAGGUUAAUUUAUUUUGGUUUUUCUGCGUAAUUCGAUCAAUUGAAAAUGUGUUUGGAAAUUGUCCAACUAUUUCUGUGACUUUAUGCCAAACAGCUCUUCUCUUGCUCUGAAUUGUUAUUGUACACAUAAAACUAGAAUGAUUUAUAUGAGCGAGGGCUGCUAUAUGUUUUGCAAACCACCAGAUGUAACUGCUUGCUGCGUUUAAAGUAAAAAAUCAAAAUAAAAUGAAGCUGUGAUGACUCCUCCACUCCACUAGGGGUCUCUGUGUUCUGUGCUUGCUGGCACCAGAUCGUCAGCUUGAUGAGCCACACCUGGGCCCGCUGUGGUUCAGGAUAUAAAGCUCACCACCUUCCUACAGCACUCCACCUCUCUUCCUUCAGACACAGCUGUGGUUCUAGUCACGCCUACCUCACCCACUAUCCCACAGUUAUGGUGGCCCUGGAAACUCAACUCCAGAAAACACAUACAAGUAGAUAAAGCACA
ensembl:lncRNA uncharacterized LOC115018137